GGGAUGUAGCUCAGUGGAAAAGCACUUGCCUAGCAUGCACGAGGCCCUGGGUUCCAUUCCCAGAACCCA
rnacentral:tRNA from 1 species